UGCCAGACUCCUACGGGAGGCAGCAGUGAGGGAUAUUGGUCAAUGGGGGAAACCCUGAACCAGCAACGCCGCGUGAGGGAAGACGGUUUUCGGAUUGUAAACCUCUGUCCUCUGUGAAGAUAAUGACGGUAGCAGAGGAGGAAGCUCCGGCUAACUACGUGCCAGCAGCCGCGGUAAUACGUAUGGUGCAAGCGUUAUCCGGAUUUACUGGGUGUAAAGGGAGCGCAGGCGGCACGGCAAGCCUGAUGUGAAAGCCCGCGGCCCAACCGCGGGACUGCAUCGGGAACUACCGGGCUGGAGUGCCGGAGAGGUAGGCGGAAUUCCUAGUGUAGCGGUGAAAUGCGUAGAUAUUAGGAGGAACACCAGUGGCGAAGGCGGCCUACUGGACGGUGACUGACGCUGAGGCUCGAAAGCGUGGGGAGCAAACAGGAUUAGAUACCCCUGUA
rnacentral:rRNA from 1 species